UGAACGCUGGCGGCGUGCCUAAUACAUGCAAGUCGAGCGAACAGACGAGGAGCUUGCUCCUCUGACGUUAGCGGCGUACGGGUGAGUAACACGUGGAUAACCUACCUAUAAGACUGGGAUAACUUCGGGAAACCGGAGCUAAUACCGGAUAAUAUAUUGACCCGCAUGGUUCAAUAGUGAAAGACGGUUUUGCUGUCACUUAUAGAUGGAUCCGCGCCGCCUUAGCUAGUUGGUAAGGUAACGGCUUACCAAGUCGACGAUGCGUAGCCGACCUGAGAGGGUGAUCGGACACACUGGAAAUGAGACACGGUCCAGACUCCUACGGGAGGCAGAAGUAGGGAAUCUUACGCAAUGGGCGAAAGCCUGACGGAGCAACGCCGCGUGAGUGAUGAAGGUCUUCGGAUCGUAAAACUCUGUUAUUAGGGAAGAACAAAUGUGUAAGUAACUAUGCACGUCUUGAAGGUACCUAAUCAGAAAGCCACGGCUAACUACGUG
rnacentral:rRNA from 1 species